GGUCUCGUAGCUCAGUUGGUUAGAGCAUUGGUCUUAUGAGCCGAAGGUCGCGGGUUCAAGCCCCGUCGGGACCA
rnacentral:tRNA from 1 species